GUGGGUAUUUGGCAAUGUGGAUCCUGUAUGAAAACAGUAGCUGGUGAAGCAUGGAUCUACAAUACCACCCUGCAGUCACAGUCAAAUCUGCC
rnacentral:miRNA from 1 species